GCCGCGGUUGUGGGGAGGGCGACGGAGCGGGUGACCUUCCGGAGGCGGGAGCGAGCGAGGAGGCCCGGGAGCGCCGAGCGUCGCCGCCGCCGCCGCCAUGAACAACUCGGGCGCUGACGAGAUCGGGAAGCUCUUCGUGGGCGGUCUUGACUGGAGCACGACCCAAGAGACUCUGCGCAGCUACUUUUCCCAAUAUGGAGAAGUCGUAGAUUGUGUUAUCAUGAAAGAUAAAACCACCAACCAGUCUCGAGGCUUUGGGUUUGUCAAAUUUAAAGACCCAAACUGUGUGGGGACGGUGCUGGCCAGCAGACCGCACACGCUAGAUGGCCGAAACAUCGACCCCAAGCCAUGCACACCCCGGGGGAUGCAGCCGGAGAGAACACGGCCGAAGGAAGGAUGGAAAGGACCCAGGAGCGAUAACAGUAAAUCAAAUAAGAUAUUUGUCGGUGGAAUUCCUCACAAUUGUGGUGAGACAGAGCUCAGGGAAUACUUCAAGAAGUUCGGAGUGGUCACGGAGGUAGUCAUGAUCUAUGAUGCUGAGAAGCAGAGGCCCCGAGGUGGAAGUUAAACGAGCUGAGCCUCGGGACAGCAAGAGCCAAGCGCCGGGACAGCCAGGUGC
rnacentral:sRNA from 1 species